AUUAUUUCGCAGGCAGGUUAAUGCAGUUUAAAAAAAAAUAGCAAUGAUUUUCGGUGUUUGCAUCGCAAUCUAAAUCUGACGUCAUUUUCCUAACUAUUCGACACGUGAUUGGCUAGAACGUUUCGUCGACGUCAAAAUUGAGCUUGUCACCAACAGCUGAUCGGGCACCUUGUUAUGAUAGAAGUCAGUGUCUUCAGUUCGACAACAACACGUUAAUAUAGAUGUGGGUUGCUUAUAUUUUG
rnacentral:lncRNA from 1 species